GCGAGGGUGUAGAGAGGGAAGUUAGGGCUUUCGCUUUCCCCCCCCACUCCAGCGGCGGCGUUCGGUCCUCUGGGUGGAAUGUGCUCGCAGCAGCAGUGACGGAGGCCACAGCACGGGAGGCACCCGAGCCAUACACCCUGCAGCUGGAGAGAAAAGGAUGGCCGAGGUGGGAGAGACUAGAGUGAACCAGCAGGAGGAAGUCCUAGGGCCGCGAAGCUACGACGGAGAUCCGUCCUGGAAAAGCCUUCUCCACCCUGGGCACUUUAAGCGGCGGUGGCGGCAAACGGCAGGAGGUUGCAGACCCGACAGCGAGCCUCCCUCAUUCCAGUCUUGCUCUGCCCUCCGGAGAUGACAAGUGAGAAAGAAGUGUCCGGCCGGGCCAUCCCCUUCAGACAGAAAAUCAAAGCUAUUUAAAGUAAAGGAUUUGUUUCAAAUCAAGCCUUUGCCUGCUACUGCCAACCUGAGAGGGGAGCUUCUGCUCUGCAGAUGGAUGGACAGCUGCUGAUCUUCACCUCCUGUCUGUUCCCACAAUUCUAAAAGAAUUAAGCCUGAGGAACUUAAUCUUCUG
rnacentral:lncRNA from 1 species